AACCUCCGCAAUGUGAGAAAUCGCGACGGGGGGAUCCCAAGUGCCAUUCUUAACGGGAUGGCUUUUCAUUAGUGUAAAGAGCUUUUGGAAUAAGAGCUGGGCAAGACCGGUGCCAGCCGCCGCGGUAACACCGGCAGCUCUAGUGGUAGCAAUUUUUAUUGGGCCUAAAGCGUCCGUAGCCGGUUUAAUAAGUCUCUGGUGAAAUCUUGCAGCUUAACUGUGGGAAUUGCUGGAGAUACUAUUAGACUUGAGACCGGGAGAGGUUAGAGGUACUCCCAGGGUAGAGGUGAAAUUCUGUAAUCCUGGGAGGACCGCCUGUUGCGAAGGCGUCUAACUGGAACGGUUCUGACGGUGAGGGACGAAAGUUAGGGGCGCGAACCGGAUUAGAUACCCGGGUAGUCCUAACUGUAAACGAUGCGGACUUGGUGUUGGGGUGGCUUUGAGCUGCUUCAGUGCCGAAGGGAAGCUGUUAAGUCCGCCGCCUGGGAAGUACGGUCGCAAGACUGAAACUUAAAGGAAUU
rnacentral:rRNA from 1 species